rnacentral:rRNA from 1 species
UACGAAGGGUGCAAGCGUUACUCGGAAUUACUGGGCGUAAAGCGUGCGUAGGUGGUUCGUUAAGUCUGAUGUGAAAGCCCUGGGCUCAACCUGGGAAUGGCAUUGGAAACUGGCGACCUAGAGUGCGGUAGAGGGUAGUGGAAUUCCCGGUGUAGCAGUGAAAUGCGUAGAGAUCGGGAGGAACAUCUGUGGCGAAGGCGACUGCCUGGACCAGCACUGACACUGAGGCACGAAAGCGUGGGAGCAAACAGG